rnacentral:rRNA from 1 species
GGCCCGUACCCCAAACCGACACAGGUGGUCAGGUAGAGCAUACCAAGGCGUACGAGAUAACUAUGGUUAAGGAACUCGGCAAAAUGCCCCCGUAACUUCGGGAGAAGGGGGACCGGAAUAUCGUGAACACCCUUGCGGUGGGAGCGGGAUCCGGUCGCAGAAACCAGUGAGGAGCGACUGUUUACUAAAAACACAGGUCCGUGCGAAGUCGCAAGACGAUGUAUACGGACUGACGCCUGCCCGGUGCUGGAAGGUUAAGAGGACCCGUUAACCCGCAAGGGUGAAGCGGAGAAUUUAAGCCCCAGUAAACGGCGGUGGUAACUAUAACCAUCCUAAGGUAGCGAAAUUCCUUGUCGGGUAAGUUCCGACCUGCACGAAUGGCGUAACGACUUCUCAACUGUCUCAACCAUAGACUCGGCGAAAUUGCACUACGAGUAAAGAUGCUCGUUACGCGCGGCAGGACGAAAAGACCCCGGGACCUUCACUACAACUUGGUAUUGAUGUUCGGUACGGUUUGUGUAGGAUAGGUGGGAGACUGUGAAACCUCGACGCCAGUUGGGGCGGAGUCGUUGUUGAAAUACCACUCUGAUCGUAUUGGGCAUCUAACCUCGAACCCUGAAUCGGGUUUAGGGACAGUGCCUGGCGGGUAGUUUAACUGGGGCGGUUGCCUCCUAAAAUGUAACGGAGGCGCCCAAAGGUUCCCUCAACCUGGACGGCAAUCAGGUGGCGAGUGUAAAUGCACAAGGGAGCUUGACUGCGAGACUUACAAGUCAAGCAGGGACGAAAGUCGGGAUUAGUGAUCCGGCACCCCCGAGUGGAAGGGGUGUCGCUCAACGGAUAAAAGGUACCCCGGGGAUAACAGGCUGAUCUUCCCCAAGAGUCCAUAUCGACGGGAUGGUUUGGCACCUCGAUGUCGGCUCGUCGCAUCCUGGGGCUGGAGCAGGUCCCAAGGGUUGGGCUGUUCGCCCAUUAAAGCGGCACGCGAGCUGGGUUUAGAACGUCGUGAGACAGUUCGGUCUCUAUCCGCCGCGCGCGUCAGAAACUUGAGGAAACCUGUCCCUAGUACGAGAGGACCGGGACGGACGAACCUCUGGUGCACCAGUUGUCCCGCCAGGGGCACCGCUGGAUAGCCACGUUCGGUCAGGAUAACCGCUGAAAGCAUCUAAGCGGGAAACCUUCUCCAAGAUCAGGUUUCUCACCCACUUGGUGGGAUAAGGCCCCCCGCAGAACACGGGUUCAAUAGGUCAGACCUGGAAGCUCAGUAAUGGGUGUAGGGAACUGGUGCUAACCGGCCGAAAACUUACAACA